AUACGGAGGGUGCAAGCGUUAAUCGGAAUUACUGGGCGUAAAGCGCACGCAGGCGGUCUGUCAAGUCGGAUGUGAAAUCCCCGGGCUCAACCUGGGAACUGCAUCCGAAACUGGCAGGCUAGAGUCUUGUAGAGGGGGGUAGAAUUCCAGGUGUAGCGGUGAAAUGCGUAGAGAUCUGGAGGAAUACCGGUGGCGAAGGCGGCCCCCUGGACAAAGACUGACGCUCAGGUGCGAAAGCGUGGGGAGCAAACAGGAUUAGAUACCCUGGUAGUCCACGCCGUAAACGAUGUCGACUGGGAGGUUGUGCCCUUGAGGCGUGGCUUCCGGAGCUAACGCGUUAAGUCGACCGCCUGGGGAGUACGGUCGCAAGACUGAA
rnacentral:rRNA from 1 species